rnacentral:rRNA from 1 species
GAUGAACGCUGGCGGCGUGCCUAAUACAUGCAAGUCGAGCGAACGGACGAGAAGCUUGCUUCUCUGAUGUUAGCGGCGGACGGGUGAGUAACACGUGGAUAACCUACCUAUAAGACUGGGAUAACUUCGGGAAACCGGAGCUAAUACCGGAUGAUAUUUUGAACCGCAUGGUUCAAAAGUGAAAGACGGUCUUGCUGUCACUUAUAGAUGGAUCCGCGCUGCAUUAGCUAGUUGGUAAGGUAACGGCUUACCAAGGCAACGAUGCAUAGCCGACCUGAGAGGGUGAUCGGCCGCACUGGAACUGAGACACGGUCCAGACUCCUACGGGAGGCAGCAGUAGGGAAUCUUCCGCAAAGGGCGAAAGCCUGACGGAGCAACGCCGCGUGAGUGAUGAAGGUCUUCGGAUCGUAAAACUCUGUUAUUAGGGAAGAACAUAUGUGUAAGUAACUGUGCACAUCUUGACGGUACCUAAUCAGAAAGCCACGGCUAACUACGUG